ACACGAGAAGCAAUCGUGGUGGAUCAAGAGGUCGUGGUCGUGGUCGUGGUGCUCUUUCUGGUACGUUAGAUAGAAUUGAUACUCUUGGUAGACUGUUGGUACGUAUAUUGAGACAUAAUGCGACGGAGCUGAAUUUGGACAUGCGUAGUGAUGGAUAUGUCAAGCUUUAAGAUUUAUUAAAGCUGAACAUUAAGACAAGGUCAAAUAUCCCAUUAAGCUCACAUUCUAUUGAUGAAAUUAGAGAAGCUAUAAGGAUAGACAAUAAGCAGAGGCUUGGCCUUUUGGAAGAGGAUGGAGAACUGUGGAUACGUGCAAACCAAGGUCAUACUGUAAAGGUUAGCUAUUUUUGCAGUAGUAUUAUUGUGUAUUAGUAUAGAAAAAAUUGUGAAGAACUGCUCAUGAGUCAAUAACAAGUUUCG